AGAGUUUGAUCCUGGCUCAGGACGAACGCUGGCGGCGUGCUUAACACAUGCAAGUCGAACGGUGAAGUCCCUUCGGGGGCGGAUCAGUGGCGAACGGGUGAGUAACACGUGGGCAAUCUGCCCCUCACUGUGGGAUAACUCCGGGAAACCGGGGCUAAUACCGCAUAUGAAGCCUGGCGGCAUCGCCGGGUUUGGAAAGUUUUUCGGUGAGGGAUGAGCCCGCGGCCUAUCAGCUUGUUGGUGAGGUAAUGGCUCACCAAGGCGACGACGGGUAGCCGGCCUGAGAGGGCGACCGGCCACACUGGGACUGAGACACGGCCCAGACUCCUACGGGAGGCAGCAGUGGGGAAUAUUGGGCAAUGGGCGAAAGCCUGACCCAGCGACGCCGCGUGCGGGGUGAAGGCCUUCGGGUUGUAAACCGC
rnacentral:rRNA from 1 species